GGGUCAGUAGGUUGGUCGUGCCACCGGUACGUACUGGUCUCACUGAUUCCUCCUUCCUGAAGAACCGUAAUGCCAUUAAUUUGGUGUCGCGGGGAAACAGGACUGUUACUUUGAAAAAAUUAGAGUGUUUAAAGCAAGCCAACGCUUGAAUACAUUAGCAUGGAAUAAUGAAAUAGGACGAUCGAUCCUAUUUUGUUGGUUUCUAGGAUUGACGUA
rnacentral:rRNA from 1 species